CAACUUCUCAAAAUGAAGUUCCCUUCUCAGCUCCUGGGGCUAAUGAUGCUCUGGGUCACAGAAUUGCCGUUCUUCUUCUCUUCGAUCUGCCGAUGGAUUUUCAGGUGUUUGCAAUCUCUAGACAAGCUAUCUAGCUGAUCUCCGGCUAGCUGAAGUAGUCUCAGACUGCUACUUCUCCGCCAUCUUGACUCCUCCCCCGAAACUACCAACAUUAAACAUUAAAC
rnacentral:lncRNA from 1 species